AGUCUCUUGGUCUAGUUGGUUAUGACGUAUCGUUCACAACGAAACCCGAUAAGGUCCCGAGUUCGAACCUCGGAGAGACUA